GGGCGAUUAGCUCAGUUGGUUAGAGCGUUGCGUUCACAUCGCAAAGGUCGCUGGUUCGAGUCCAGCAUCGCCCACCA
rnacentral:tRNA from 1 species